AGCACACAGUAGCGUGACUUGUGUCUGAAAUGAACUUGCAUACUUGCUGGUUAACAGGCACAUAAGCCAUGAAGAAGCCCAGAAUCCCAUGCCUCUGUCACGGCCUGAAUGCUGCUCCCACAGAACAACCUGCCCAGGGAAUGGUGCUGCCCACAGUGGACCGGACCCUUCUCCAUCAAUUCCCCAUCAAGAUAAUCCCCGCUAGGGACAUGCCCACAGGCAAGUCUCCUCUUCUCACCUGGUAAGUUCCUCAACUGAGGCACAGUUUCAGGUGACUCAGGGUUGUUUCAAGUUGACAGUUAAAAAUAACUAGGAAGAACAACCCAACCAGAAUAAACUCUAUGUAGCCUAUCUGUCAACUCCGCACACAGGGAAAGGUCUAUUUCUGCAUUUGCUCCAUCAUGGCAUCCAUCUGCCAUGGCGCAGCAGAGAGCAGACCUCGCAUAUCCAUGUGGACAGCACACUUUUUAGGUCCUAUGGCAGCCUUGGCUCUUUUCCAGCCUGUAUUGGCUCCCAUGUGGCCAAACCUUACAUGAACCCAGCGAGCAGCCUCUAGGGACAGCUGAGGGCAGAUGGCCUAUAUUUUACUAAGGGCAUCUUGGUUUCCAGGAGGACUUAGUGGACUAUGGGCUGCCAUAUGGAAACUACUAGAAGUUCUGACUCCUGGUGAACUCUGUUAGAUAUAUUUCCUUCCACAUCUGUUGUCUCCAUGGCAACAGCCGACCCAGCAGUCACUGAUUUCCCUUUUCCCAUCAGGCUAUCCAUAAAAUCAGGCCUCUGGAUACAGACCAACUGUUCGUACAGAUGGCCACAGGCCAAGCCUCCUCCAUAAGGAAGCUCACUGUCUGUUCCUUCCUUCUCUCUUCCCAUGUUAUUAGUGUUUAUCUGUAUUGCUAUAGUCACAUAUUCCCGCCUUGUGCCUUUUCCUGAGCCACAAGUGACCAGAAAUCCUUGAGAAUAGUCAGCACUGACUCCGGAACCCCAUCAUCUGGUUAGGUUGUUGCUUCGGUUACUGACGGAAGCUCAGUGACGUCAAAAGAUACUGUUCCCGUGGCUAAAGAGAUGGGUCAGUGACUAAGAGCGCUUACUGAGGAUUGCAGAAGACCCAGAUUUUGUUCCCUAGAUCUGAUGCCCCCUUCUAGCCACUCUGGACUCCUACGUGCACGAGGUACAGAGACAUACAUAAUCAUCAUUUGAAAAGUUUGGUGUUUAAAAGACACUGGCUGUAACCCAGCAGGCCUGGCAUGGGGACAUGAACGCAGUAUUAGUCACUUUCCUCACAGCCGUGACCAAAUGCCUGGAGCAAGCAACUUAACAAAGGAAGCCUUUUUUCUGCAGCUUAAGGGCGUGGGAGGGAAGGCGUGGUGGCGGGAUCUGGAGGCAGGCGGCAUUUCAUCUGCAGUCAGUUUGUGUAGAGCCAUGAACGCUGGCACUCAGCUUUCUUCCUCCUUUGUAUGCAGUCCAGGACCUCAGUCCACAGUAUGGCGAUGGACAUUCAGGAUGGGCCUCACCUCAGAUAACCUAAGUAUGUCAUCUCUCACAGACAUAACCAGAGGCUAACCUAAUCUAGACGGAGAUGAUCUCUUCGGUUAUUCUAGAUGCAUCCAUUAACACUGCUGGCAUAUAAUCCCAGGAUUUCAGGGUGGAGGCAGGGCAUGGAGGCAGGAGGAUCAGGAGUUCAAAGUCAUUCUCAGCCACAUGAUGAUUUUGAGGCCAGCUUGGCUGCAUGAGAUCCUGUCUCAAAGAAAAGAAAAGGGACUUAGAUGGGAGGUGGUACACAUGCCACCCCAGUUUCCACUAGCCCAGACAGAGGACAGCCCCUCCAACAUUAACAAAGCUAUAGUCCAACCAGGUCUGGUGACACACCUGUAACCCCCGUACUCAGGACGCUGAAGCAGGCUGAUGGCGUGCCAGGCCAGACUCGACUACAUAAGCAAGAAACCAUCUCGGAACAAAACAAGAAAGUUGGCUCCAAUGAUUGCUCUAUUCCCUGCCCACUGCCCCUCUUCGAUUCUUUAAUUUAAUUCCACUUUAUUCAUUAUCUGUGUGACAGGUUCCAGUAAUAUACUUAGUGAUCAAUAAAAAUUUCUGAAUUCAAA